UACGGAGGGUGCAAACGUUGCUCGGAAUCAUUGGGCGUAAAGCGCACGUAGGCGGUCCGUUAUGUCGGGUGUGAAAGCCCUCGGCUUAACCGAGGAAGUGCAUUCGAAACUGGCGGACUUGAGUACCGGAGAGGGUCGCGGAAUUCCCGGUGUAGAGGUGAAAUUCGUAGAUAUCGGGAGGAACACCAGUGGCGAAGGCGGCGACCUGGACGGAUACUGACGCUGAGGUGCGAAAACGUGGGGAGCAAACAGG
rnacentral:rRNA from 1 species